rnacentral:lncRNA from 1 species
AAUAUUGCUAAGUAAGCUUUAAUCAAAUUCAAAGAAACCUCAAAAAAAUUUCAAAAAAAUAAUAAGAAAUCUUUAAGAAAUAUUAAAAUGAUCACAAAUAUCUCUCAAAUACAUCUCAAUUCAAUCUUAAUUUCAUCCUAGUUAAAAUCCUAUUGAAUUUCAUUCAAAAUUUAGGCCAAAACUAAUUAAAUCUUAAAUACUAAAUAAAUCCUAAUAAAAUCUUAAAUCCUAAAUCAAAUCCUAAUCAAAUCCUAAUUCUAAAUCAAAUCCUAACCAAAUCCUAAAUCCUAAAUCAAACCCUAAACCUAAACCAAACCUUGAAUCCUAAACCAAAUCUCAACUAAACCCUAAAUCAAAUCCUAAACAAAUUCUAAACUAAAUCCUAACUAAAUCAUAAAUCUAAUCCUAAUCAAACCCUAACCCUAAAUCAAAUCUUAAUCUAAAUCCUAAAUCCUAAAUUAAAUCCUAACCAAAUCCUAAAUCCUAAAU